CUUAACACUGUGGCAGGUCGUACGGAAAAGCAWUUUUUAGUGGCGAACGGGUGAGUAACGCGUGAGAAUUUGCCUUUAGGAARAGGAUAACAUUUAGAAAUAAUUGCUAAAACUCUAUAUGCCGUUUGGUGAAAAAAGUAAUUUGCCUAGAGAGAAGCUCGCGUCUGAUUAGCUAGUUGGUAAGGUAAAGGCUUACCAAGGCGACGAUCAGUAGCUGGUCUGAGAGGAUGAUCAGCCACACUGGAACUGAGACACGGUCCAGACUCCUACGGGAGGCAGCAGUGAGGAAUUUUCUGCAAUGGGCGAAAGCCUGACAGAGCAAUACCGCGUGAGGGAAGAAGGCCUACGGGUUGUAAACCUCUUUUCUCAAGGAGGAAGAUCUGACGUUACUUGAGAAUAAGCAUCGGCUAAC
rnacentral:rRNA from 1 species